GAUGAAGAACGCAGCGAAAUGCGAUACGUAAUGUGAAUUGCAGAAUUCAGUGAAUCAUCGAGUCUUUGAACGCACAUUGCGCCCCCUGGUAUUCCGGGGGGCAUGCCUGUCCGAGCGUCAUUGCUGCCCUCAAGCACGGCUUGUGUGUUGGGCCUCCGUCCUCCUCCCGGGGGACGGGCCCGAAAGGCAGCGGCGGCACCGCGUCCGGUCCUCGAGCGUAUGGGGCUUCGUCACCCGCUCUUGUAGGCCCGGCCGGCGCUUGCCGACACAUCAAUCUUUUUUCCAGGUUGACCUCGGAUCAGGUAGGGAUACCCGCUGAACUUAAGCAUAUCAAUAAGCGGGGGA
rnacentral:misc_RNA from 1 species